CCUACGGGCGGCUGCAGUGGGGGAUAUUGCACAAUGGGCGCAAGCCUGAUGCAGCCAUGCCGCGUGUGUGAAGAAGGCCUUCGGGUUGUAAAGCACUUUCAGCGGGGAGGAAGGCGGUGAGGUUAAUAACCUCAUCGAUUGACGUUACCCGCAGAAGAAGCACCGGCUAACUCCGUGCCAGCAGCCGCGGUAAUACGGAGGGUGCAAGCGUUAAUCGGAAUUACUGGGCGUGAAGCGCACGCAGGCGGUCUGUCAAGUCGGAUGUGAAAUCCCCGGGCUCAACCUGGGAACUGCAUUCGAAACUGGCAGGCUAGAGUCUUGUAGAGGGGGGUAGAAUUCCAGGUGUAGCGGUGAAAUGCGUAGAGAUCUGGAGGAAUACCGGUGGCGAAGGCGGCCCCCUGGACAAAGACUGACGCUCAGGUGCGAAAGCGUGGGGAGCAAACAGGAUUAGAUACCCCGGUAGUC
rnacentral:rRNA from 1 species